GCUAGUAACUGCACAGACCCAUCUGAAAGCCCUUUGAUAGAUGUAAUGGAUUUGAGCAUGGACUGUGUGUCAGACGCUGCGUCAGAGACUGGGAUACCACAGGGACCUGACCAGAUAUAAACUCUGCUCUCUAGAAGCUUGACAGUCCAAGCAUCACAAAUAUUUGAUUCGGUAUACUUUUUAAUCACUCAUGCUCAACUGAACUAUUUGGUAAAAGGUAAAAAAGCAGAAUCACUCUACAUCCUCAAAGGAACUCAGUAUACAACAGCAACAGCAACAGCUGCUUCCUGCUUUACAUGCUGAAAACAAAUGGUUCAGCCAAAGUUUGUUUUUGCAAAAAUAAACAUAGUGCAACUGAGGAGUCUUUAAUAGACUUAUGCAGAUUUCCUAAGUGAUUAUAGAAGUGUUUCUUAUAAAGGAUAUCAAAGAGUUUGCUUGGAAAUUAUAGCAGAGUUAAUAUUAAAUACAUAUUUUUAAAUGUUCUUGGAACCAGCAUUGAAAGCCUUUUUCAGGUUUGAAAUAUCAUUAUUUAUUUAAUAUUUCUACUUGUCUGUCACAUUAUGGAGAAAAAAACGAAUGCCUGUUAUUAAGAAUGUGGCCUCCCUAUAAUCAAUGGUGUUAGUCAACUUUCAGAUUUCCUUUAAAUUACGUUUCUAAGAUUUUAAAAAUUU
ensembl:lncRNA novel transcript